UACGGGGGGAGCAAGCGUUGUUCGGAUUUACUGGGCGUAAAGGGCGCGUAGGCGGUCAGCCCCAGUCAGUUGUGAAAUCUCCGGGCUUAACUCGGAAAGGUCAACUGAUACUGUGCGACUAGAGUGCAGAAGGGGCAACUGGAAUUCUCGGUGUAGCGGUGAAAUGCGUAGAUAUCGAGAGGAACACCUGCGGCGAAGGCGGGUUGCUGGGCUGACACUGACGCUGAUGCGCGAAAGCCAGGGGAGCGAACGGG
rnacentral:rRNA from 1 species